rnacentral:rRNA from 1 species
GGGUUGUGAGGUUAAGCGACUAAGCGUACACGGUGGAUGCCCUGGCAGUCAGAGGCGAUGAAGGACGUGCUAAUCUGCGAUAAGCGUCGGUAAGGUGAUAUGAACCGUUAUAACCGGCGAUUUCCGAAUGGGGAAACCCAGUGUGUUUCGACACACUAUCAUUAACUGAAUCCAUAGGUUAAUGAGGCGAACCGGGGGAACUGAAACAUCUAAGUACCCCGAGGAAAAGAAAUCAACCGAGAUUCCCCCAGUAGCGGCGAGCGAACGGGGAGGAGCCCAGAGCCUGAAUCAGUGUGUGUGUUAGUGGAAGCGUCUGGAAAGGCGCGCGAUACAGGGUGACAGCCCCGUACACAAAAAUGCACAUGCUGUGAGCUCGAUGAGUAGGGCGGGACACGUGGUAUCCUGUCUGAAUAUGGGGGGACCAUCCUCCAAGGCUAAAUACUCCUGACUGACCGAUAGUGAACCAGUACCGUGAGGGAAAGGCGAAAAGAACCCCGGCGAGGGGAGUGAAAAAGAACCUGAAACCGUGUACGUACAAGCAGUGGGAGCAUGCUUAGGCGUGUGACUGCGUACCUUUUGUAUAAUGGGUCAGCGACUUAUAUUCUGUAGCAAGGUUAACCGAAUAGGGGAGCCGAAGGGAAACCGAGUCUUAACUGGGCGUUAAGUUGCAGGGUAUAGACCCGAAACCCGGUGAUCUAGCCAUGGGCAGGUUGAAGGUUGGGUAACACUAACUGGAGGACCGAACCGACUAAUGUUGAAAAAUUAGCGGAUGACUUGUGGCUGGGGGUGAAAGGCCAAUCAAACCGGGAGAUAGCUGGUUCUCCCCGAAAGCUAUUUAGGUAGCGCCUCGUGAACUCAUCUCCGGGGGUAGAGCACUGUUUCGGCAAGGGGGUCAUCCCGACUUACCAACCCGAUGCAAACUGCGAAUACCGGAGAAUGUUAUCACGGGAGACACACGGCGGGUGCUAACGUCCGUCGUGAAGAGGGAAACAACCCAGACCGCCAGCUAAGGUCCCAAAGUCAUGGUUAAGUGGGAAACGAUGUGGGAAGGCCCAGACAGCCAGGAUGUUGGCUUAGAAGCAGCCAUCAUUUAAAGAAAGCGUAAUAGCUCACUGGUCGAGUCGGCCUGCGCGGAAGAUGUAACGGGGCUAAACCAUGCACCGAAGCUGCGGCAGCGACGCUUAUGCGUUGUUGGGUAGGGGAGCGUUCUGUAAGCCUGUGA